rnacentral:rRNA from 1 species
GAUGAACGCUGGCGGCGUGCUUAACACAUGCAAGUCGAACGGAAAGGCCCAAGCUUGCUUGGGUACUCGAGUGGCGAACGGGUGAGUAACACGUGGGUGAUCUGCCCCGCACUUCGGGAUAAGCCUGGGAAACUGGGUCUAAUACCGGAUAGGACAGUGGUUUGGAUGCCAUUGUGGAAAGUUUUUUCGGUGUGGGAUGAGCUCGCGGCCUAUCAGCUUGUUGGUGGGGUAAUGGCCUACCAAGGCGUCGACGGGUAGCCGGCCUGAGAGGGUGUACGGCCACAUUGGGUCUGAGAUACGGCCCAGACUCCUACGGGAGGCAGCAGUGGGGAAUAUUGCACAAUGGGCGUAAGCCUGAUGCAGCGACGCCGCGUGGGGGAUGACGGCCUUCGGGUUGUAAACUCCUUUCGCUAGGGACGAAGCGUUAUGUGACGGUACCUAGAGAAGAAGCACCGGCUAACUACGUG